rnacentral:snRNA from 1 species
GGAUGUGGGAGCAAUCUGGCUGCAAUAUGUCACCCCAUUAAUCACCAGGGUUGAUAUUACUAAUCUGGCUGGUUAGGCAGGUGUCCCCUUCCUCCCUCAUCACUCCACGUACAUGCCUCCCCAAGCUGCACUCUGGGUUGAAGAAGCCAACCAUCCUGACCAUCCACAAUAGAUGAGGAUAGGUCUUCAGUCAAAAGUAUAUGAGUGGCUGCACUUCCCUGCCAGAUCCUCCAAACAUCUUUCUAGAAAUGUACAAUAAAAUAUAAUAAAAAAUAAAAUUUUACUUU